GGGGCCCGCACAAGCGGUGGAGCAUGUGGUUUAAUUCGAUGCAACGCGAAGAACCUUACCUGGACUUGACAUCCCAGGAAUUCCCUGGAAACAGGGAAGUGCCCUUCGGGGAGCCUGGUGACAGGUGCUGCACGGCUGUCGUCAGCUCGUGUCGUGAGAUGUUGGGUUAAGUCCCGCAACGAGCGCAACCCUUGUCUUUAGUUGCCAUCAUUAAGUUGGGCACUCUAAAGAGACUGCCGGUGUCAAACCGGAGGAAGUGGGGAUGACGUCAAGUCCUCAUGGCCUUUAUGACCAGGGCUACACACGUACUACAAUGGCAGGUACAAAGGGCAGCCACUUAGCGAUAAGGCGCGAAUCCCGUAAAACCUGUCUCAGUCCGGAUUGGAGUCUGCAACUCGACUCCAUGAAGUUGGAAUCGCUAGUAAUCGCAGAUCAGCACGCUGCGGUCGAAUACGUUCCCGGGCCUU
rnacentral:rRNA from 1 species